UACGUAGGGUGCGAGCGUUGUCCGGAAUUACUGGGCGUAAAGAGCUCGUAGGUGGUUUGUCGCGUUGUCCGUGAAAACUCACAGCUUAACUGUGGGCGUGCGGGCGAUACGGGCAGACUGGAGUACUGCAGGGGAGACUGGAAUUCCUGGUGUAGCGGUGGAAUGCGCAGAGUAUCAGGAGGAACACCGGUGGCGAAGGCGGGUCUCUGGGCAGUAACUGACGC
rnacentral:rRNA from 1 species